CUUUUCUGUAAAGGGGCACAGAGAAAAGGCAUUGGUGCUGGAAGGGAUUUGCAUGUUCAAGAAAGAGUUUUAUUUAAAGUGAGAGAAAUUACAGCAUGUUUGACUGUAUGAUAAUAAGAAUGGUCUAGCCUGGCAUGGUGGCUAACACCUGUAAUCCCAGCACUUUGGGAGGCUGAGGCAGGCAGAUCAUGAGGUCAGGAGUUGACCAACAUGGUGAAACCCCGUCUCUACUAAAAAUACAAAAAUUAGCCAGGCAUGGUGGCACACGCCUAUAAUCCCAGAUAGGAGGCUGAGGCAGGAGAAUCACUUGAACCUGGGAGGCAGAGGUUGCAGUGAGCCGAGAUCACACCACUGUACUCCAGCCUGGGCAACAGAGUGAGACCCCGUCUCAACAAAAAAAAACAACAACAAAAACAACAACAACAACAACAACAACAAAAAGAAUGGUCUAGAAGAAAGAAGACUGGAAUGAUGAAGCAGAAGAGAAGGGAGGCUUACAUAACAUCUUGCGGUAAUGAAAGGGGAUGGAAUCUGGUAUAGGAUCCAGAUCCAGGACUUGAGCAUAGCAGAUUUUGGCAUCUGCGGGUUGUCCUGAAACCAGUGCCCCACAGAUAUGGAGAGCUGACUGCAUUCCAAGUGAAGUUCAUGAGGAUUCCUAGAGCAGAAAAGAAGACAGCAAGCUUAGAGGGUUCAAGUGAUUCUCCUGCCUCAGCCUCCUGAACAGCUGCGAUUACCGGCGCGCACCACCAUGCCCAGAGAUAUUAAGGCAGAGAGCAGUUAAAUAACUUGCCAAAAAUUCUCAACAGGGACAAGGUCUUGCUAUGUUGCCCGGCCUGGUCUCAAACUCCUGGGCUUAAGCAACCCUCCCCAGUCCUGCCACCAUAGCCUCCCAAAGCCCUGGGAUUACAGGUGUAAGCUGCAAGAACUUCUUGAAAGGCAAUUCAACAUAGUGUUUAAAAGCAUGCAGGAGUCCUGGGUUCAAAUCUCCAUUCCAGCUCUAUCCAGGCCUCUGAGCCCAAGCUAAGCCAUCAUAUCCCCUGUGACCUGCACAUAUACAUCCAGAUGGCCUGAAGCAACUGAAGAUCCACAAAAGAAGUGAAAAUUGCCAGUUCCUGCCUUAACUGAUGACAUUCCAGCAUUGUGAUUUGUUCCUGCCCCACUCUAACUGAUCAAUUAACUUUGUGACAAUACACCCUCCCCACCCUUGAGAAGGCACUUUGUAAUAUCCUACCCCAACCCACUGCCCUUAAGAAGGUACUUUGUAAUAUUCUCCCCACCCUUGAGAAUGUACUUUGUAAGAUCCACCCGCUGCCCACAAAAAAAUUGCUCCUAACUCCACUGCCUAUCCCAAACCUAUAAGAACUAAUGAUAAUCCCACCACCCUUUGCUGACACUCUUUUUGGACUCCGGCUGCCUGCACCCAGGUGAUUAAAAAGCUUUAUUGCUCACACAAAGCCUGUUUGGUCGUCUCUUCACACGGACACACAUGACAUUUGGUGCCGAAGAGCUGGGACAGGAGGACUCCUUCAGGAGACCAGUUCCCUUGUCCUCGCCCUCACUCCAUGAGGAGAUCCACCUAUGACCUCGGGUCCUCAGACCAACCAGCCCAAGGAACAUCUCACCAAUUUCAAAUCAGCCAAAAUCCACAGUGAUCCACAUAAUACUCAGGAAUCACCCAGAAGGGAUUUCUAUCUGAAAGGAGAAAGAAGCUCUGGGGCAUGAAUAUACGUUGUCUUGUAAAAAAAUAAAUCAGUAAUUCAUGUGUGUAUAUUUUAUACUCAAUGGGAAAAAAUGUUUUAUUUAAAAAAACACUCAAUAUUUUACAUGACAUUGUGAAAAGGCAGCACGGAAUUACUCAUUUGCUUCCUUUUUUAAAGUUUUAGAUGAAAAAUAAAC
rnacentral:lncRNA from 1 species